UAACCUGCCCAAGAGAUCGGGAUAACACCUGGAAACAGAUGCUAAUACCGGAUAACAACAGAUGAUGCCUAUCAACUGUUUAAAAGAUGGUUCUGCUAUCACUCUUGGAUGGACCUGCGGUGCAUUAGCUAGUUGGUAGGGUAACGGCCUACCAAGGCGAUGAUGCAUAGCCGAGUUGAGAGACUGAUCGGCCACAUUGGGACUGAGAUACGGCCCAAACUCCUACGGGAGGCAGCAGAU
rnacentral:rRNA from 1 species